GACGAACGCUGGCGGCGUGCUUAACACAUGCAAGUCGUACGGUAAGGCCCUUUCGGGGGUACACGAGUGGCGAACGGGUGAGUAACACGUGAGUAACCUGCCCACAACUUUGGGAUAACGCUAGGAAACUGGUGCUAAUACUGGAUAUGUGCUCCUGCUGCAUGGUGGGGGUUGGAAAGCUCCGGCGGUUGUGGAUGGACUCGCGGGCUAUCAGCUUGUUGGUGGGGUAGUGGCCUACCAAGGCGGCGACGGGUAGCCGGCCUGAGAGGGUGACCGGCCACAUUGGGACUGAGAUACGGCCCAGACUCCUACGGGAGGCAGCAGUGGGGAAUAUUGCACAAUGGGCGCAAGCCUGAUGCAGCAACGCCGCGUGCGGGAUGACGGCCUUCGGGUUGUAAACCGCUUUCAGCAGGGACGAAGCUUUUUGUGACGGUACCUGCAGAAGAAGCACCGGCUAACUACGUG
rnacentral:rRNA from 1 species